rnacentral:misc_RNA from 1 species
UCAAACUUGGUCAUUUAGAGGAAGUAAAAGUCGUAACAAGGUUUCCGUAGGUGAACCUGCGGAAGGAUCAUUAACAAUUAUCCUCAACUAUGGAUAAUUUAUCCAUAUCCACCUUGUGUGAAUCAUUGAACUGUCUAUUGGCAGGCUAACACUUUUCUAUUACGGAGAGCUGUGUGGUUGGCAUUGAUAUUUCUUCUCAAUGCUUGUAAAAACCGGCCUGCCAAUUUUAUUUUUGUAAAACUUGUCUAAAAUAUUGUUGGUCUGAAAUAUAAACAUGUAUAACAAAUACAACUUUCAACAACGGAUCUCUUGGCUCUCGCAUCGAUGAAGAACGCAGC